AUUGAACGCUGGCGGCAGGCUUAACACAUGCAAGUCGAACGAGUGGCGGACGGGUGAGUAAUGCUUGGGAAUCUAGCCUAUGGAGGGGGAUAACUACGGGCAACUGUAGCUAAUACCGCGUACUAUCGGAUGAAACCAAAGGGGAUUAGGUAGUUGGUGUGGUAAAGGGUCACAAAGACGACGAUCUCUAGCUGGUCUGAGAGGAUGACCAGCAAAACUGGGACUGAGAAACGGCCUAGACUCCUACGGGAGGCAGCAGUGGGAAAUAUUGCACAAUGGGGGCAACCUGAUGCAGCCAUGCCGAGGGUAUGAAGAAGGCCUUCGGGUUGUAAAGUGCUUGCGGUAGCGAGGCGUUAACUGCAGAAGAAGCACAGGCUAACUCCGUGCCAGCAGCCGCGGUAAUUC
rnacentral:rRNA from 1 species